CAGCGAGCGCGACCGACGCGAGUCGCAGCCGCCACCGCCGCUCUCCCCGCGCUCGCCGCACGCGCUGCCAGGCUGCGCGGCCCUCUCUCUUCUCCUCUCCUCCCCGCCCGCUGCCGCCGCCGCCCUCGCCCCCGCCUCCCUCCUCCGCCGAGCUUCCCCGCCCGCGUCGUGGCCAAUCGGAGGCCACCGAGCUGCGGCUGUAGCCGGCCAGAUCCACGGCAGCCGUCCGCCCCCGCCCCGCCGAAGCACCCCGUUUUUGCUGCAGCCCGCGGGGGGUCGCCGGAGGGAAGUCUGGGGUGCGUGGAACACCGCCCUGGCAGGUGGAGGGGCUGCGGGAAAUAAAAUAACUUGCACAGGAACUUGAUGGUUGGCAGGUUCAUCGUUGGACCGCGAUGAGGGAUUAGAGAUUAGGAAGGGAGGGGGAAUGCCUCCGAGGUAGCCGAACGCACGCUUCUCUUUCUGUUUUGUCAUUCUUUCGAGAUAGAUGAUUUUUCUGGGUAGGGACAGACACAGCAAACUAGCAACGCAGGCAGAGCCCACCCUGGCCAUUGUUGUCUGAGGUGCUUGCCAUGAGCCACCUGCGGGCCAGGGAGGGCGGAGGCCGCAGUUUCUCUUCGGCGCUAGUACUUCUCCCACCUUUGCAGAUGUACUGGAAUAGCCCAAGUUUGUGUGUUGUUUCGUUUUCUUUUGUUCCCUCUGGGAAUUUGAGAGUGCGCGUUAUUUUAUUUGAAGUCUCCCGUUUUAUAUUUCUACUCGUCAGUGGUACUGUUCACAAUUUUUAACAAACAGUUUUCAGGGAGUUUGACUUCCUUGCUUACACCACCUUCCAACAUCAUCAACAAAGAAAACCAGAAGAAAUAGAAAGAAAGGGGUAAACAAUCUAAAAGCCAGAACUGUCUGUGAAAAUAGGAUUAUCUAAAAGACAAAAUGACAUUACAGAGUUCGCACCCAGGAAAGGAGUUUUGCUUCCUCUCUGUAAGGCAUGAACUUGGAGUGGGACACAAAAAGUGAGAGACUUUACAAGUUUGGGUCACAAACAUUUGUGAAAUGGAGGGAGGGGUGAGGAGUAACUGAUUUGGGCAAGAUAAUACAUUUUUUCCAGAACUUUUUUUUUUUUUUUAAGUAUUACAGGUAAAUAAAAAUACCGGUUUUAUCUAAGCGUUUCCAUACUCUGGAGGUCGUCGAACUUCGUUGCAGUUAAUGAACAUUAUUCCUCUGCUUUGGGUUUUUGGGGUUUUUGUGCUUUUAGUAUUUGAAAAUCAAACUCAAUGUUUCCAUGGAAAAUAUAACCAACUCUACAGAGGACAGGAAGACGUCAGAGCUACUCUGCACAGACUCCAGAAUUUGUAGGAAAAGAAACGAAGGGGUGGUGACAGGCUGGCAGCGGGGGAGAACCAUGGUGAGCAGGAACACGGACACUUGAAGCCUGCAGUGAGAGUUUCCAACUCAACAUGCCUGGCAAAAGUUAGCAAUGAAUAGAUGAUGAAUUGAGAUAGCUCCUGCCUGAAGGAAAGCAACCUGCUUAGAUCUGAAUAAGCAGGAAAUUCUUCAGUUUGUUCAGCAGAACCUAGAAAAGAUAACCCUAGAAUCUGGCUAAAAUCCUAAAGGCA